rnacentral:rRNA from 1 species
GAGUUUGAUCGUGGCUCAGAUUGAACGCUGGCGGCAGGCCUAACACAUGCAAGUCGAGCGGAUGACGGGAGCUUGCUCCUUGAUUCAGCGGCGGACGGGUGAGUAAUGCCUAGGAAUCUGCCUGGUAGUGGGGGACAACGUUUCGAAAGGAACGCUAAUACCGCAUACGUCCUACGGGAGAAAGCAGGGGACCUUCGGGCCUUGCGCUAUCAGAUGAGCCUAGGUCGGAUUAGCUAGUUGGUGGGGUAAUGGCUCACCAAGGCGACGAUCCGUAACUGGUCUGAGAGGAUGAUCAGUCACACUGGAACUGAGACACGGUCCAGACUCCUACGGGAGGCAGCAGUGGGGAAUAUUGGACAAUGGGCGAAAGCCUGAUCCAGCCAUACCGCGUGUGUGAAGAAGGUCUUCGGAUUGUAAAGCACUUUAAGUUGGGAGGAAGGGCAGUAAGUUAAUACCUUGCUGUUUUGACGUUACCGACUAGAAUAAGCACCGGCUAACUCUGUGCCAGCAGCCGACC